AGAGUUCAGUAACUAAACACUUAAAAUAUAAUAAUGACAUUGCAAUAUGAAUUGAAUUUCUAUGCUUUUAAAAGUACAGAGUCAUUGGUGGUUGUAUGUUUUCGAUUCUUGGAUUAAGGGAUAUGCGGUUAUAAUGAUGUGGGCUCCGUAGGGUUGAGUGGAUGGUUGGUUGAAUAGUAUAAUCUAAUAGAUGAAAAUGAUCAAAAACGUAGAUCUAACGGUAAAAAAUUUACAAGCACCUAGCGCUUGGUGCUUUUACAAACACACAUAGCCGGAGUCUUGCAAUAUCAUUAGCUAGUAACAUUUUAGGGUACCUUCUAAAUUACUUAUAGCAACACUUUUAAUUUAGACUAAAUACAUAAAACUCCUCUGUCAAAACCCGAUUUUUCACUUUCUAUUUUUGUCAUUUAAAACCUACACUUUACCCACUUAUAAAAUGAAAAUUAUUUACUUCAUCCUUUACCGUUAGUAAUCCGUUCCGUUUAUAAAAUAUUAUUAUAUAUUUUUUUAUGCCAAAAAUGCCCUCAGUCUUCUAUCCUGUGAAUAUGGUGAGGGGCAAAAUGGUGAGGGGCAAAAAGAUCAUUUUGUCAUCACAAUUCACACCGUUCCCCUUGUGAACAUUUUUAAUUUUACAAGGGAGUAAAGUGUAGGUUUUUAAAUGACAGGGAGGGAAGGU
rnacentral:lncRNA from 1 species